rnacentral:lncRNA from 1 species
UGCACCAGCAUAGAAUUAACUAUCUAAUCCACCAAAUCAACCGUCCCUAGAGCAAGUGGCAAAGGGCUUGGUGGUUGUACCCGAGACCCAAGUUCGAAUCCUAGUUAAUUCACAUUUCCAGCUAAGUUUAUUUCUAAAUGAAAUAAACGAAGCGGGUAGCGUGCUACUUAUCUCCAAAAAAAAAAAAAAAACUAUCUAAUCCACCACAAAAAAUUUUGAUGCAUUAAAUUAAUAUGAAAU